AGCGGCGGACGGGUGAGUAACGCGUGGGUAACCUGCCCUGUACACACGGAUAACAUACCGAAAGGUAUGCUAAUACGAGAUAAUAUGCUUUUAUCGCAUGGUAGAAGUAUCAAAGCUUUUGCGGUACAGGAUGGACCCGCGUCUGAUUAGCUAGUUGGUAAGGUAACGGCUUACCAAGGCGACGAUCAGUAGCCGACCUGAGAGGGUGAUCGGCCACAUUGGAACUGAGACACGGUCCAAACUCCUACGGGAGGCAGCAGUGGGGAAUACUGCACAAUGGGCGAAAGCCUGAUGCAGCAACGCCGCGUGAGCGAUGAAGGCCUUCGGGUCGUAAAGCUCUGUCCUCAAGGAAGAUAAUGACGGUACUUGAGGAGGAAGCCCCGGCUAACUACGCGCCAGCAGCCGCGGUAAUACGUAGGGGGCUAGCGUUAUCCGGAAUUACUGGGCGUAAAGGGUGCGUAGGUGGUUUCUUAAGUCAGAGGUGAAAGGCUACGGCUCAACCGUAGUAAGCCUUUGAAACUGGGAAACUUGAGUGCAGGGGAGGAGAGUGGAAUUCCUAGUGUAGCGGUGAAAUGCGUAGAUAUUAGGAGGAACACCAGUUGCGAAGGCGGCUCUCUGGACUGUAACUGACACUGAGGCACGAAAGCGUGGGGAGCAAACAGGAUUAGAUACCCUGGUAGUCCACGCCGUAAACGAUGAGUACUAGGUGU
rnacentral:rRNA from 1 species